rnacentral:misc_RNA from 1 species
CAACCACCCAAGUGUCAUCAUUCAAGUUUUUGCCUUUCUCCUCUUCUCCAGUAAUGGUUUAGGUUUGCUUUUUUGUUUUUACCUCUCUUUCUCUCUCGGUGAGAGACAUCCUCUUGUGCUUGGUAGGUUGAGGUAAAUGGGCCCUAAACUCCACUGAAGAUUUAAUGUUUGAAAAGAAGGGUCUCCAUCUCCUCUUGCAGUGCUCCCUUGCCCCCG